GGGCAUGGUGAACCUGCGGAGGGAUCAUUACC
rnacentral:rRNA from 1 species